UGGACAAUGGGCGAAAGCCUGAUCCAGCCAUGCCGCGUGUGUGAAGAAGGUCUUCGGAUUGUAAAGCACUUUAAGUUGGGAGGAAGGGCAGUAAGUUAAUACCUUGCUGUUUUGACGUUACCAACAGAAUAAGCACCGGCUAACUUCGUGCCAGCAGCCGCGGUAAUACGAAGGGUGCAAGCGUUAAUCGGAAUUACUGGGCGUAAAGCGCGCGUAGGUGGUUCAGCAAGUUGGAUGUGAAAUCCCCGGGCUCAACCUGGGAACUGCAUCCAAAACUACUGAGCUAGAGUACGGUAGAGGGUGGUGGAAUUUCCUGUGUAGCGGUGAAAUGCGUAGAUAUAGGAAGGAACACCAGUGGCGAAGGCGACCACCUGGACUGAUACUGACACUGAGGUGCGAAAGCGUGGGGAGCAAACAGGAGUAGAUACCCUGGUAGUCCACGCCGUACACGAUGUCGACUAGCCGUUGGGAUCCUUGAGAUCUUACUGGCGCCUCUAACGCGAUAAGUCGACCGCCUGGGGAGGACGGCCGCCAGGUUAAAACUCAAAUGAAUUGACAGG
rnacentral:rRNA from 1 species